rnacentral:rRNA from 1 species
ACGGAAGGCAGCAGUGGGGAAUAUUGGGCAAUGGGGGAAACCCUGACCCAGCAACGCCGCGUGAAGGAAGAAGGCUUUCGGGUUGUAAACUUCUUUUAAGAGGGACGAAGGAGUGACGGUACCUCUUGAAUAAGCUACGGCUAACUACGUGCCAGCAGCCGCGGUAAUACGUAGGUAGCAAGCGUUGUCCGGAUUUACUGGGUGUAAAGGGCGCGUAGGCGGGGAUGCAAGUCAGAUGUGAAAUGCAGAGGCUUAACCUCUGAGCUGCAUUUGAAACUGUAUCUCUUGAGUACUGGAGAGGUUGGCGGAAUUCCUAGUGUAGCGGUGAAAUGCGUAGAUAUUAGGAAGAACACCGGUGGCGAAGGCGGCCAACUGGACAGCAACUGACGCUGAGGCGCGAAAGCGUGGGGAGCAAACAGGAUUAGAUACCCUGGUA